rnacentral:rRNA from 1 species
CGAGGAUUGCAUUUGGAACUAUCAAGCUAGAGUACAGGAGAGGAAAGCGGAAUUCCUAGUGUAGCGGUGAAAUGCGUAGAUAUUAGGAAGAACACCAGUGGCGAAGGCGGCUUUCUGGACUGAAACUGACGCUGAGGCUCGAAAGCGUGGGGAGCAAACAGGAUUAGAUACCCUGGUAGUCCACGCCGUAAACGAUGAGUGCUAGGUGUCGGGGAGGAAUCCUCGGUGCCGCAGCUAACGCAAUAAGCACUCCACCUGGGGAGUACGACCGCAAGGUUGAAACUCAAAGGAAUUGACGGGGGCCCGCACAAGCGGUGGAGCAUGUGGUUUAAUUCGAAGCAACGCGAAGAACCUUACCAAGGCUUGACAUCCCGAUGACCGUCCUAGAGAUAGGACUUCUCUUCGGAGCAUCGGUGACAGGUGGUGCAUGGUUGUCGUCAGCUCGUGUCGUGAGAUGUUGGGUUAAGUCCCGCAACGAGCGCAACCCUUAUCUUCAGUAGCCAUCAUUUAGUUGGGCACUCUGGAGAGACUGCCGUGGAUAACCUGGAGGAAGGUGGGGAUGACGUCAAAUCAUCAUGCCCCUUAUGACCAGGGCUACACACGUGCUACAAUGGCGUAAACAAAGGGAAGCGAGGCCGCGAGGUGGAGCAAAUCCCAAAAAUAACGUCUCAGUUCGGAUUGUAGUCUGCAACUCGACUACAUGAAGCUGGAAUCGCUAGUAAUCGCGAAUCAGAAUGUCGCGGUGAAUACGUUCCCGGGUCUUGUACACACCGCCCGUCACACCAUGGGAGUCAGCAACGCCCGAAGUCAGUGACCCAACCGCAAGGAGGGAGCUGCCGAAGGUGGGGCCGAUAACUGGGGUGAAGUCGUAACAAGGUAACCA